CUCAGUUGUACUUUUGAAGCUGGCAGAGCUACAGUUUAAUGUAAAUUAGGAACUGAAAACUAUUAGCAUCAAAGCCUCAGUGAGAUUUUUAUCUGGCAAAACUUCUCAGUCCUAUUCUCAGAGCGAAUGAAGGAAAAAAAAUGGCAUAGGAAAUCCUGCCAGUCUUGGGAGAGUAGAUGCCUUUCAACAUGACGGUCUCGACCCUCUGUACAGGGAUAGGAAAAUCUGUGGCCCAGGGGACAUGAAGAGAAGGCAGCAGCUGGUGAGAAGAGAGUCAAUAUGUACUGCAAAACCACAGCAAGGUCCAGGCCUGGAAGCACCAGCCACUACAAAAGUACCUUUAUGAGCUGUGAAGAUCUUCAUAACCACGAACCCACCAGGAGGAACAAAUAAUUCUGGAUGUGCCAUCUUUAAGAGCUGUAACACUCACUGAGAAGGUCUGCAGCUUCACUCCUAAAGUCAGCAAGACCACAAACCCACCAGAAGGAAGAAACUCUGGACACAUCUGAACAUCUGAAGGAACAAACUCCGGGCACACCAUCUUUAAGAACUGUAACACUCAUUGUGAGGGUCCGCAGCUUCAUUCUUGAAGUCAGUGAGACCGAGAACCCACUAGAAGGAACCAAUUCUGAACACAAUGUUAUUAUAUAUGCAUUAGGUAACUCCAGAUUCUUAUAUAUGGAUUAUUUUAAAUGCUAUCUACCUAAAAAAUAAAGAAAAAACUUGAGCUGGAAACUUACAGAAUAGAUGAAAAUAUAAAAAUACAAUUAGGUAAUUUAGGUUUUAAAGAAUUAUGUUUUUGUUGCCUUAAAUUGAGACUUUAGUAGAAGAAAUCCACAAUGAAACAUGAGAAAAAAUAAAUUUAUAUUGAAUUUAUGUACUAGAAAACUUUUUUCCUUUCUAUGCCAGGAAUUGCUACUAGUUUCUUUGUAAUCAUAUUUUCUUUUUAUUUUUACUGUGAUACGAUCUUGAGGGAAUCUUAUUCUAAUCUGUUACCAGAAAAUUAAAAACGUAAUUUCUGAAUCUUAAUUUUUAAAACUUAAAAGAGAAUUUAAGGCUGGGCACGGUGGCUGGUGCCUGUAAUCUCAGAACUUUGGAAGGCAUAGGCAAGAGGAUCACUUGAGCCCAGCAGGAGUUGGACACCAGCCUGAGCAACAUGAGGAGACACUGUCUCACAAAAAAUACCUGGGCAUGGUGGUGCAUGCCUGUAGUCUUAGCUACUCAGGAGGCUAAGGUGGGAGAAUUGCUUGAGCCCUAGAGGUUGAGGCUGCACUUAAGUUAGCUAUGAUCACACCAGUGUCCUCCAGCCUAGGCAAGACCCUGUCUCAAAAAAAAAAAAAAAAAAGAAUUAAUCCAAACCACCUGUUCCUGUAGCAGCUGAUUAUCAAGAAUCAAACCAGUUCAAAUGUUCCCAAAGUUUUUACAGACUCAAAAUAAAAUUUAAAUGUGGUCUAAAGGGGAUAAUACAAACAUAAUUACCUUUGGAGUAAAAUUAUGAACCUUGGAAAGUGAUUACUUAAGAAUCCUAUAAGAAAUCACAUGUGUUGAAAUGCCACAGUCUCAGUGACGAUAAGAUAUUUGGAUCUUCAAGGUCCUCAAAUCAUCAUUAAAAGAAAAGAUCAGUUUAAUUAAUUGAUCAACCAUUUAUUCAGCUGUCACCAUGUGGCAAGACUUGGCUUUAGCUGGCUACAAUGUCUAAGAUUCCUAUGUCCUACUCUGGAGCUGUUGGGAGUCAAUGGAGAAAAUUUUCACAUAAUUGUAACAUGAAAUGAUAUACCUGAAAAACUUAAGACAAUACAAAAGUGAGAGAGGUGUUCACACACAUUGUAGUAUUUAACUAACACAUUAUAGUUUUUAACCAAUAAACCUAAAGGUAGUUGCUUUAAUUCUCAUUUUACAAAUAACAACACUAGAAGUGGAAAUCAAACAAUACCCAACAUAUAUAGUUAGUAGGUUAGGAAUUGGUGAUUUACAUGUAAAUUUAUUUGACAUCAAAAUUGAUAUAGUUACAACUCUAUAUAUGACAUCUAGGACUUGAUUAAUUUUGCUUAGGAUUAAAAAAAAGGAUUAUACUAUAGAGAGGAUGUAUUAAAGAUAGAGGAGCAUUUGCAAAGCCACGGAAGUGUGAGGAGGAAUAGUGUAGUCAAACAACGGUCAGGUAGGACAUCAGAUACACACAGAAUUUAAGGUGCCAGGGGAAGGAAUGAGCGAGAAGGAGUGAAGAAUUAACCUUGACCCAAGCAGUGGAAAGAGACUGUAUGAGCCAUGGAAAUAAGCUGCAACUUUAUCCUUCAGUACAUGAACAAAAGACUUCAGUAACCCUGGUGACAAUUUGCAAACAGGUUACCUGCGACUUUUAAUUUUAAAAUUACA
rnacentral:lncRNA from 10 species